UAUAGCUGUCUGGUUUCACCUAGUUAUGUAUAGCUGUCUGGUUUCACCUAGUUAUGUAUAGCUGUCUGGUUUCACCUAGUUAUGUAUAGCUGUGGGGUUUCAUCAGGUCUGGUUUCACCUAGUUAUGUAUAGCUGUUGAAUGAGUCUCACCCGAUGUCCCCAGGUGUGAAUGAGUCUCGCCCGAUGUCCCCAGGUGUGAAUGAGUCUCGCCCGAUGUCCCCAGGUGUGAAUGAGUCUCGCCCGAUGUCCCCAGGUGUGAAUGAGUCUUUCCUGAUGUCCCCAGGUGUGAAUGUCUGGUUCACACCAUUAGAGGGGUGAAAUAUAACUGACCAUAAGACUGAUCUAGAAUCAGCUUCCUCCCCUCCAGUCCUAACGGCCACCAUUAGAGGGGUGAUAUAAGACUGAUCUAGGACCAGUGUUAAACAGGGCUGAAUUUCUGGUUCACACCAUUAGAGGGGUGAUAUAAGACUGAUCUAGGACCAGUGUUAAACAGAGCUGAAUGUCUGGUUCACACCAUUAGAGGGGUGAAAUAUAACUGACCAUAAGACUGAUCUAGAAUCAGCUUCCUCCCCUCCAGUCCUAACGGCCACCAUUAGAGGGGUGAUAUAAGACUGAUCUAGGACCAGUGUUAAACAGAGCUGAAUGUCUGGUUCACACCAUUUUGAUGCUGAUUUAUUGUUAUUGUAAUGACAUUAAAUUGUUGAAUGUUUCUGUCGAUUUGGAA